rnacentral:rRNA from 1 species
UACGGAGGGUCCAAGCGUUAUCCGGAUUUAUUGGGUUUAAAGGGUCCGUAGGCGGGUUAUUAAGUCAGUGGUGAAAUCCUACAGCUCAACUGUAGAACUGCCAUUGAUACUGAUAGCCUUGAGUUCGGUUGAAGUGGGCGGAAUGUGUCAUGUAGCGGUGAAAUGCAUAGAUAUGACACAGAACACCAAUUGCGAAGGCAGCUCACUAAGCCGAUACUGACGCUAAUGGACGAAAGCGUGGGGAGCGAACAGG